rnacentral:rRNA from 1 species
UACGAAGGGUCCAAGCGUUGUUCGGAAUCAUUGGGCGUAAAGCGCGCGCAGGCGGAUCAGCAAGUCAGAUGUGAAAUCUCGGAGCUCAACUCCGAAACUGCGUCUGAAACUGCUAGUCUAGAGUGUCGGAGGGGGUAGGGGAAUUUCACGUGUAGGGGUAAAAUCCGUAGAGAUGUGAAGGAACACCGGUGGCGAAGGCGGCAUCCUGGACCGACACUGACGCUGAGGAGCGAAAGCCAGGGGAGCAAACGGG